rnacentral:rRNA from 1 species
AACGAACGCUGGCGGCAUGCCUAACACAUGCAAGUCGAACGAGACCUUCGGGUCUAGUGGCGCACGGGUGCGUAACGCGUGGGAACCUGCCCUUAGGUUCGGAAUAACUCCCCGACAGGGGUGCUAAUACCGGAUAAUGUCUUCGGACCAAAGAUUUAUCGCCUUUGGAUGGGCCCGCGUUGGAUUAGCUAGUUGGUAGGGUAAAAGCCUACCAAGGCGACGAUCCAUAGCUGGUCUGAGAGGAUGAUCAGCCACACUGGGACUGAGACACGGCCCAGACUCCUACGGGAGGCAGCAGUGGGGAAUAUUGGACAAUGGGCGAAAGCCUGAUCCAGCAAUGCCGCGUGAGUGAUGAAGGCCUUAGGGUUGUAAAGCUCUUUUACCCGGGAUGAUAAUGACAGUACCGGGAGAAUAAGCGCCGACUAACUCCGUG